CAAGGAAACGGUGCCCUUGGGCCCGAUUCUCCAACCACUGCGUACCAAGCUUUAUGUUGCCUCGGCGGGCGUUUCCACCCUCCACUCACGUGGACGGCAGUCUGCCCGCCGAAGGACCCUUUAAACCUGUUUUUUGCAAGGCGAACGUCUGAAUAAACAUCGCAAAUGCGAAAGUA
rnacentral:misc_RNA from 1 species